rnacentral:tmRNA from 1 species
GGGGCUGAUAAGGUUUCUACAUUUUGAUAUUUUAUAUGAGUUUUAGUUAAUUUAUAAUUAUUAUCAUAAUAAUUUCUUUUUAGAUAUUAUUAUGUAAUAGCUAUUGUUUAAUUGCAAAACAUAAUAUUUUAGUUUUCUCUAAAAAUUUAGUAAAAGUGUAAAUUUUUAGAAUUAUAAAUUAUAUGUUUUCCAUAUAAUUUAUGAUGUUUUAAGGAAAUGCUCUAAUUAUUAAUUCUCAUAAUAAAAUUUGUUUAAUUUUUGAAAAUUAAUAAUAAGUAAAGUAAUAAAUAUAAAAUUGAAAAAUUUUGAAUUUAAUAAAUUAGCUUAAUAAUAAUAACUUAAUAUCUAUAUCAAUAUGGACGUGGGUUCGAUUCCCACCAGUUCCA